rnacentral:rRNA from 1 species
AGAGUUGAUCAUGGCUCAGGAUGAACGCUAGCUACAGGCUUAACACAUGCAAGUCGAGGGGCAUCAUGGAAGUAGCUUGCUACUUCUGAUGGCGACCGGCGAAUGGGUGAGUAACGCGUAUCCAACCUGGCCUAUGCUCUGGGAUAGCCCUUAGAAAUGAGGAUUAAUACGAGAUGGUUUCCUUUGAUCGCCUGAGAUUAGGAGUAAAGACUUGUCGGCACAGGAUGGGGAUGCGUUCCAUUAGAUAGUUGGCGGGGUAACGGCCCACCAAGUCGAUGAUGGAUAGGGGUUCUGAGAGGAAGGUCCCCCACAUUGGUACUGAGACACGGACCAAACUCCUACGGGAGGCAGCAGUGAGGAAUAUUGGUCAAUGGGCGGAAGCCUGAACCAGCCAAAGUAGCGUGAAGGAAGACGGCCCUACGGGUUGUAAACUUCUUUUGUCGGGGAAUAACCGUCGGCACGUGUGCCGACCUGCAUGUACCCGGUGAAUAAGGACCGGCUAAUUCCGUGCCAGCAGCUGC